ACGAGGCUCUUUUCCCCAAAGGGAGAGCGGUGGCCUUGCUCGGGGCAAACGGCCAGACCCGGAGCCUCCCUUUCAAAACACGCCUUGUUCACCAUAUCAGGUGGUGCAAUCCGACCUGAACAAAAUGCCAGGAAACGGAGACGGGUCUUCUGUCCAGCCAACUGGUCUUUUUGGGCUCUGAAACAAAGGCUGCCUUCUUGUUUCAUCUCUUUCCCGGCUUUUCUUGCAGCAGGAGAGAAAUAAAUUCCUUAUUCAAUGGACAUUGGAUUGCAAAGGAUGGCUGCAGCAAUACAUUGACCUGAAUCUUCCCAUGCUGCUUCUCGCCGUGGAUCUUGGCCAACGGCGACCAAACUAAUAUUUUUUUGGAGCAUGGAAAGAGAUAAAGCAAUAACCCUCACCUCCAAAAAGUUAUCAAGAUUUUGAAUUGCCUAAACUUAACUUUCAUAACUUUCUUUUGAAAAAGGUAGAGUUACCCCAUAGUAUCCCCAGUCUCCGCAGUGGGAUGGUCUCCCUUUUCUCUAAUAAUGGUGUAUCACGGCCAGCCGGAAGGGUGUGUGACCCGCAAAAUGGACCCCUCUGAACUGCUGCCGUCCUGCCAAGAGCUGGAAAGCUGCUUCCAAGCUAUCCUGAAGAACGUCACACUGGGGAUCACGGCAGAGGUACAGAUGAUGGGGACGGGGGCGCUGGGAGGCCUGGUCACUUUGCUUUGUGGCAACAAGCCAACGUACCUUGUCGGAAGCUCGGCACUGGCUUUUCAGAGAAGCAGAGCUGCUUAGGAAAGAGAUCCCCCUUCCUGCUGACCCCCCCCCAGCCAUGGAAGAGGCCACAAGACGGUUGCACGGCCGUAGAGAUCAAGCCACAAGACGGACUGUCUUCUGCUC